rnacentral:rRNA from 1 species
GAUGAACGCUGGCGGCGUGCUUAACACAUGCAAGUCGAACGGAAAGGCCCAAGCUUGCUUGGGUACUCGAGUGGCGAACGGGUGAGUAACACGUGGGUGAUCUGCCCUGCACUUCGGGAUAAGCCUGGGAAACUGGGUCUAAUACCGGAUAGGACCACAUUUUGGAUGGUGUGGUGGAAAGUUUUUCGGUGUGGGGUGAGCUCGCGGCCUAUCAGCUUGUUGGUGGGGUAAUGGCCUACCAAGGCGUCGACGGGUAGCCGGCCUGGGAGGGUGUACGGCCACAUUGGGACUGAGAGACGGCCCAGACACCUACGGGAGGCAGAAGUGGGGAAUAUUGAACAAUGGGAGCAAGCCUGAUGCAGCGAGGCCGCGGGGGGGAUGACGGCCUUAGGGUUGAAAACUCCUUUCGCUAGGGACGAAGCGUUAUGUGACGGUACCUGGAGAAGAAGCACCGGCUAACUACGUG